rnacentral:rRNA from 1 species
GAUGAACGCUGGCGGCGUGCCUAAUACAUGCAAGUCGAGCGAACAGACGAGGAGCUUGCUCCUCUGACGUUAGCGGCGGACGGGUGAGUAACACGUGGAUAACCUACCUAUAAGACUGGAUAACUUCGGGAAACCGGAGCUAAUACCGGAUAAUAUAUUGAACCGCAUGGUUCAAUAGUGAAAGACGGUUUUGCUGUCACUUAUAGAUGGAUCCGCGCCGCAUUAGCUAGUUGGUAAGGUAACGGCUUACCAAGGCAACGAUGCGUAGCCGACCUGAGAGGGUGAUCGGCCACACUGGAACUGAGACACGGUCCAGACUCCUACGGGAGGCAGCAGUAGGGAAUCUUCCGCAGUGGGCGAAAGCCUGACGGAGCAACGCCGCGUGAGUGAUGAAGGUCUUCGGAUCGUAAAACUCUGUUAUUAGGGAAGAACAAAUGUGUAAGUAACGAUGCACGUCUUGACGGUACCUAAUCAGAAAGCCACGGCUAACUACGU